GGCAUUCAAGCUCAUAAUUCCACUGCAAAAAAUAGGAAAAUCAUGAACAAAGAUAUCCACCCAUAAAAAUUCAUACAAUAAAGGGCAUGAAGUAUCUAAAAUGAGCAUGAAGCCAAGCUACUGUUAAUCCAAUACUUCAAGCCACAGCUAAAUAGAGUAUUUCAUCAAAUAACUUAGACUUUUUGAAAGAUUAAAGUUUUACAGAGUUUUGUUCAGUGGGGCUAAUGGUGCCUUCGAUAAAUUUUGAGGAAUUUGUGAAUAUGUCAGACUUAAAUGCAAUUCCCAAAUCAUCUCUCAAAUUCUGAACUUUUCUAACUUGAAAUACAUGCUUCUUUUCAUGUAUGUGAUAAGCUUUACUAAUUAUGAUCAGCAGAAAAUAGGGCGCAGUAUAUUACCGUGAAAGUAAGAUAAUGUCAUUA
rnacentral:misc_RNA from 1 species